rnacentral:rRNA from 1 species
GGAGGCUUUGAAGUGUGGACGCCAGUCUGCAUGGAGCCGGCCUUGAAAUACCACCCUUUAAUGUUUGAUGUUCUAACGUUGGCCCGUAAUCCGGGUUGCGGACAGUGUCUGGUGGGUAGUUUGACUGGGGCGGUCUCCUCCUAAAGAGUAACGGAGGAGCACGAAGGUUGGCUAAUCCUGGUCGGACAUCAGGAGGUUAGUGCAAUGGCAUAAGCCAGCUUGACUGCGAGCGUGACGGCGCGAGCAGGUGCGAAAGCAGGUCAUAGUGAUCCGGUGGUUCUGAAUGGAAGGGCCAUCGCUCAACGGAUAAAAGGUACUCCGGGGAUAACAGGCUGAUACCGCCCAAGAGUUCAUAUCGACGGCGGUGUUUGGCACCUCGAUGUCGGCUCAUCACAUCCUGGGGCUGAAGUAGGUCCCAAGGGUAUGGCUGUUCGCCAUUUAAAGUGGUACGCGAGCUGGGUUUAGAACGUCGUGAGACAGUUCGGUCCCUAUCUGCCGUGGGCGCUGGAGAACUGAGGGGGGCUGCUCCUAGUACGAGAGGACCGGAGUGGACGCAUCACUGGUGUUCGGGUUGUCAUGCCAAUGGCACUGCCCGGUAGCUAAAUGCGGAAGAGAUAAGUGCUGAAAGCAUCUAAGCACGAAACUUGCC